AUGGGGCGCGCGCCGUGCUGCGACAAGGCGAGCGUGAAGAGGGGCCCGUGGUCGCCGGAGGAGGACGAGCUGCUGCGGAGCUACGUCCGGAGCCACGGCGCCGUCAGCAACUGGAUCGCGCUCCCGCAGAAAGCAGGGCUUAACCGGUGCGGCAAGAGCUGCCGGCUGAGGUGGCUCAACUACCUCCGGCCGGACAUCAAGCACGGCGGCUACACCGAGCAGGAGGACAUGGUCAUCUGCUCCCUCUACAACUCCAUCGGAAGCAGGUGGUCUAUCAUCGCAUCCAAGCUUCCCGGCAGGACGGACAACGACGUCAAGAACUACUGGAACACCAAGCUCAAGAAGAAGGCCAUGGCCAUGCACCACCAGCAGCAGCACUACCACCACCACGGCACCGCCGGCCGGGGACAUGCCCGCGCUGCGACGAUCGCCACGCCACCGCCCGCUCCGCAGAGCCAAUGCGCAUCAUACAUGCAGCCCUCGCCCGCGUCCGCCUCGUCCGCCGUCACCACCGCGAGCGGCGACGCGGCCAGCUUCGGCGCCAUGUACUCCCCGUCUCACCAGGCUGCGCCACUCGGUCACUACAACGUCAACGCGGCGGCGCCGCUUGCCGAAUUCUCGGCCAUGCCGACGCCGGCCGCGGCCAACAGUUGGGCCAUCAACAUGGCCUUCGAGGACAUGUUCUUGCCCGAGCUCGUCGGGGGCGGGGACUUCUCCCAGGCGGACCUGUUCGGCGGGUUCGGGGCGUCGCUGCUGCAAGCGCAAGACAGCAGGGCGCAAUCGUCCCUGCAGGAGCUCUCCGCGUGCUACUUCCCCAACGCGCAGGCGGAGAUGUGGGCGGCCGCCGCCGACCACGUCAACGUCAAGUCGCCGGGCGCCGGCCUGUGCCCCAGCCUGACAUGA
rnacentral:rRNA from 1 species